rnacentral:lncRNA from 1 species
UUGUCCAUUUUUUCCCUUUUUGAGUUUUGGAGCCAAUUUUUGAGAGGUUUUUCAUGGUGAAUCAAUUGGAUAAGCCUUUGUAACUCUAAAACUUCUUUUGCCAUUAAUUAUUUAUGUAUGCUAAUAUCAAAAUUUGGGAUUUUAAUUUGAAAAAUGACAAGAUUUUGCAAGAACUUGAGUUUUGAUCUAAAAUAGUGAUUUUGAAGUGGUUUUAAGUUCCUUUUCGAAAUGGUUUUCACUAUUUAAUUCCUAAAGCCUUAAACAUCAUUAUUUUCAAGUAUUGUUUUCCGGAUUGAAACCUCAUUUUUGAAAUUGGAUUUUAAGUUGAUUGACUCAUUUUUCUAAAUAAUUGAUGUGAGUAUUGUUGUUUUCAAAGAGUGAUUGUGAAUACUUGAUUGUUAUAAACUGUGUGCUUUUAGAACUGAGUCGGAAAGGAAAAACUCAAGCUUCGAAUUGAUUGAUUGAUUUAUGGCAAGUGGUCUCUUAACCUUGGUAAUUUAGUGGAAUUGUUUACUUCUUUUCAUUGUAUAUGUGUUGGGAGUAAUCGGGAAUGAGGUGAAAGGUUUAUUUGCUCCACUUGAUUAAUGUUAACCAACAAAAAGGGAGAAAAUGAAAAGGCUUCGUGAUGAUAAUGAUAAAUUGUGAAUUGCCUUGUUGCGGCCCCUAUUUGAUUGAUUGGUGAAUUGUUUGAAUGCAUGAAAGCGGGAUUGAAUGAUAUGAAUUGUUGUCUCUCUGUGUGGUGUGAUAUUGCUUGUGUGCAUUGAUUGUUGAACACCAUGAUGAGACACUUGAUAUAAAGCCGAAGGAAAAUGGUUCCAACUAGUGAUAUGAAUGCCGAAGGAAAAUGGUUUCGACUAGUAAUAUAAAUGCCGAAGGAAAAUAGAUCUGGU